AACGGCAUCCGCUCUAUCGCCGGCAGCGUAAGCUGCGGGAGGAAAGUCCGGGCAGCAAAGAGUCACCAUACUUCCUAACAGGAAGGGACGCACCGCGCAAGCUGUGCGCCACAGCAAGUGCCACAGAAAACAGACCGCCUUCGGGUAAGGGUGAAAACGCGAGGUAAGAGCUCACGACAUGCGUCAGUGAUGUCGCAUGAUGGUAAACCUUAUGGGCUGAAAAACCAAAUAUACCGGCAGUUAAGGGUUGACUCGCUCUUUGCCGGGGGGUAGGUUGAUUGAGACGUGCGGCAACGUACGCCCUAGAUUAAUGAUAGAGGUCUGGUUUCAGCCAGUUCACAGAACCCGGCUUACACGAUGCCGUUUUUU
rnacentral:RNase_P_RNA from 1 species